rnacentral:rRNA from 1 species
CACGUAGGAGGCAAACGUUAUCCGGAUUUACUGGGCGUAAAGCGCGUGUAGGUGGUUCUGUAAGUAGGGCGUGAAAGCUCCCGGCUCAACUGGGAGAGGCCGUUCUAAAUUGCAGAGCUAGAGGAUGGUAGAGGGAGGUGGAAUUCCAGGUGUAGCGGUGGAAUGCGCAGAUAUCUGGAGGAACACCAGUGGCGAAGGCGGCCUCCUGGACCAUUCCUGACACUCAGACGCGAAAGCUAGGGUAGCAAACGGGAUUAGAUACCCCUGUAGUCCCU